rnacentral:misc_RNA from 1 species
GUAAACGAUUAUAUCGUACUCAGACAAACAAAGACUAUCCACGAGUUGGGGCCCUCCGGCAGAGCCCAAGCCCGGAACCACCCGGGCAGGAGCUGUGCCAAAGCAACAGAGGUAGAGUAAACAGAGGGUAAGAGGGGGGCCGCCCCGGGGGGCCGCCUUUCUCGACGAGGACCGGAGUCCAGGUAUCUUUAAUGAUCCUUCCGCAGGUUCACCUACGGAAA